CCUUCUUAAAAACUGGGCUUAAAAGAUAGCCUGAUGAUUCAUGUAGUUCUUAUGAAAUGCCAUCUUGUGUAAUGUCAUCAUAGCAGAUUUUGAAUUAUUAUACCUAGGGAUCGGAGUCGGAGUUGGAGUUGGAGUCGGAUACACAAGAAAUCAAAGAGUCAGUGUCGGGUGUUUUGGGUAUCGACUCCGCA